GGGUUGUGAGGUUAAGCGACUAAGCGUACACGGUGGAUGCCCUGGCAGUCAGAGGCGAUGAAGGACGUGCUAAUCUGCGAUAAGCGCCGGUAAGGUGAUAUGAACCGUUAUAACCGGCGAUUUCCGAAUGGGGAAACCCAGUGUGAUUCGUCACACUAUCAUUAACUGAAUCCAUAGGUUAAUGAGGCGAACCGGGGGAACUGAAACAUCUAAGUACCCCGAGGAAAAGAAAUCAACCGAGAUUCCCCCAGUAGCGGCGAGCGAACGGGGAGGAGCCCAGAGCCUGAAUCAGCAUGUGUGUUAGUGGAAGCGUCUGGAAAGGCGCGCGAUACAGGGUGACAGCCCCGUACACAAAAGCGCAUGUGCUGUGAGCUCGAUGAGUAGGGCGGGACACGUGGUAUCCUGUCUGAAUAUGGGGGGACCAUCCUCCAAGGCUAAAUACUCCUGACUGACCGAUAGUGAACCAGUACCGUGAGGGAAAGGCGAAAAGAACCCCGGCGAGGGGAGUGAAAAAGAACCUGAAACCGUGUACGUACAAGCAGUGGGAGCACAGGUUUACCUGUGUGACUGCGUACCUUUUGUAUAAUGGGUCAGCGACUUAUAUUCUGUAGCAAGGUUAACCGUAUAGGGGAGCCGGAGGGAAACCGAGUCUUAACCGGGCGUUAAGUUGCAGGGUAUAGACCCGAAACCCGGUGAUCUAGCCAUGGGCAGGUUGAAGGUUGGGUAACACUAACUGGAGGACCGAACCGACUAAUGUUGAAAAAUUAGCGGAUGACCUGUGGCUGGGGGUGAAAGGCCAAUCAAACCGGGAGAUAGCUGGUUCUCCCCGAAAGCUAUUUAGGUAGCGCCUCGUGAAUUCAUCUCCGGGGGUAGAGCACUGUUUCGGCUAGGGGGCCAUCCCGGCUUACCAACCCGAUGCAAACUGCGAAUACCGGAGAAUGUUAUCACGGGAGACACACGGCGGGUGCUAACGUCCGUCGUGAAGAGGGAAACAACCCAGACCGCCAGCUAAGGUCCCAAAGUCAUGGUUAAGUGGGAAACGAUGUGGGAAGGCCCAGACAGCCAGGAUGUUGGCUUAGAAGCAGCCAUCAUUUAAAGAAAGCGUAAUAGCUCACUGGUCGAGUCGGCCUGCGCGGAAGAUGUAACGGGGCUAAACCAUGCACCGAAGCUGCGGCAGCGAACGUAUCACCCAAGACAACUUUACGGAGUUGACGAUUGACGGAGCGAAGCGACGUCAAAGCGUUCAUUAAAGUCGAGUUGGCUUAGGGAUACGUUCGUUGGGUAGGGGAGCGUUCUGUAAGCCUGUGAAGGUGUGUCGUGAGGCAUGCUGGAGGUAUCAGAAGUGCGAAUGCUGACAUAAGUAACGAUAAAGCGGGUGAAAAGCCCGCUCGCCGGAAGACCAAGGGUUCCUGUCCAACGUUAAUCGGGGCAGGGUGAGUCGACCCCUAAGGCGAGGCCGAAAGGCGUAGUCGAUGGGAAACGGGUUAAUAUUCCCGUACUUGGUGUUACUGCGAAGGGGGGACGGAGAAGGCUAUGUUGGCCGGGCGACGGUUGUCCCGGUUUAAGCGUGUAGGUGUGUGUUCCAGGUAAAUCCGGUUCACUUUAACACUGAGGCGUGACGACGAGGCACUACGGUGCUGAAGCAACAAAUGCCCUGCUUCCAGGAAAAGCCUCUAAGCAUCAGGUAACACGAAAUCGUACCCCAAACCGACACAGGUGGUCAGGUAGAGAAUACCAAGGCGCUUGAGAGAACUCGGGUGAAGGAACUAGGCAAAAUGGUGCCGUAACUUCGGGAGAAGGCACGCUGACACGUAGGUGAAGUGAUUUACUCAUGGAGCUGAAGUCAGUCGAAGAUACCAGCUGGCUGCAACUGUUUAUUAAAAACACAGCACUGUGCAAACACGAAAGUGGACGUAUACGGUGUGACGCCUGCCCGGUGCCGGAAGGUUAAUUGAUGGGGUCAGCGCAAGCGAAGCUCCUGAUCGAAGCCCCGGUAAACGGCGGCCGUAACUAUAACGGUCCUAAGGUAGCGAAAUUCCUUGUCGGGUAAGUUCCGACCUGCACGAAUGGCGUAAUGAUGGCCAGGCUGUCUCCACCCGAGACUCAGUGAAAUUGAACUCGCUGUGAAGAUGCAGUGUACCCGCGGCAAGACGGAAAGACCCCGUGAACCUUUACUAUAGCUUGACACUGAACAUUGAGCCUUGAUGUGUAGGAUAGGUGGGAGGCUUUGAAGUGUGGACGCCAGUCUGCAUGGAGCCGACCUUGAAAUACCACCCUUUAAUGUUUGAUGUUCUAACGUGGACCCGUAAUCCGGGUUGCGGACAGUGUCUGGUGGGUAGUUUGACUGGGGCGGUCUCCUCCUAAAGAGUAACGGAGGAGCACGAAGGUUGGCUAAUCCUGGUCGGACAUCAGGAGGUUAGUGCAAUGGCAUAAGCCAGCUUGACUGCGAGCGUGACGGCGCGAGCAGGUGCGAAAGCAGGUCAUAGUGAUCCGGUGGUUCUGAAUGGAAGGGCCAUCGCUCAACGGAUAAAAGGUACUCCGGGGAUAACAGGCUGAUACCGCCCAAGAGUUCAUAUCGACGGCGGUGUUUGGCACCUCGAUGUCGGCUCAUCACAUCCUGGGGCUGAAGUAGGUCCCAAGGGUAUGGCUGUUCGCCAUUUAAAGUGGUACGCGAGCUGGGUUUAGAACGUCGUGAGACAGUUCGGUCCCUAUCUGCCGUGGGCGCUGGAGAACUGAGGGGGGCUGCUCCUAGUACGAGAGGACCGGAGUGGACGCAUCACUGGUGUUCGGGUUGUCAUGCCAAUGGCACUGCCCGGUAGCUAAAUGCGGAAGAGAUAAGUGCUGAAAGCAUCUAAGCACGAAACUUGCCCCGAGAUGAGUUCUCCCUGAGACUUAGAGUCUCCUGAAGGAACGUUGAAGACGACGACGUUGAUAGGCCGGGUGUGUAAGCGCAGCGAUGCGUUGAGCUAACCGGUACUAAUGAACCGUGAGGCUUAACCUUACAACGCCGAAG
rnacentral:rRNA from 2 species